rnacentral:rRNA from 1 species
UGGGGAAUAUUGCACAAUGGAGGGAACUCUGAUGCAGCGACGCCGCGUGAGUGAUGAAGGAAUUCGUUUCGUAAAACUCUGUUCUAUGGGAAGAAAAGGACUGUACCAUAGGAGAAAGCUCCGGCUAAAUACGUGCCAGCAGCCGCGGUAAUACGUAUGGAGCGAGCGUUGUCCGGCAUUAUUGGGCGUAAAGGGUGCGCAGGCGGCUUUACAAGUUGGAUGUGAAAUAUUGUGGCUCAACCACAAACGUGCAUCCAAAACUGCAAAGCUUGAGUUAAGGAGAGGUAAGUGGAAUUCCUGGUGUAGAGGUGGAAUGCGUAGAUAUCAGGAGGAAUACCGGUGGCGAAGGCGACUUACUGGACUUAAACUGACGCUCAGGCACGAAAGCGUGGGGAGCAAACAGG